rnacentral:rRNA from 1 species
ACGAACGCUGGCAGCGUGCUUAACCCCUGCAAGUCGAACGGAAAGGCCCUGCUUUUGUGGGGUGCUCGAGUGGCGAACGGGUGAGUAACACGUGAGUAACCUGCCCUUGACUUUGGGAUAACUUCAGGAAACUGGGGCUAAUACCGGAUAGGAGCUCCUGCUGCAUGGUGGGGGUUGGAAAGUUUCGGCGGUUGGGGAUGGACUCGCGGCUUAUCAGCUUGUUGGUGGGGUAGUGGCUUACCAAGGCUUUGACGGGUAGCCGGCCUGAGAGGGUGACCGGCCACAUUGGGACUGAGAUACGGCCCAGACUCCUACGGGAGGCAGCAGUGGGGAAUAUUGCACAAUGGGCGGAAGCCUGAUGCAGCAACGCCGCGUGCGGGAUGACGGCCUUCGGGUUGUAAACCGCUUUCGCCUGUGACGAAGCGUGAGUGACGGUAAUGGGUAAAGAAGCACCGGCUAACUACGUG